rnacentral:rRNA from 1 species
AUACGGAGGGGGCUAGCGUUGUUCGGAAUUACAGGGCGUAAAGCGCGUGUAGGCGGAUCGUUAAGUCAGGGGUGAAAGCCCGGGGCUCAACCCCGGAACUGCCCUUGAUACUGGCGAUCUAGAGUCCGGAAGAGGUGGGCGGAAUUCCCGGUGUAGAGGUGAAAUUCGUAGAUAUCGGGAGGAACACCAGUGGCGAAGGCGGCUCACUGGUCCGGCACUGACGCUGAGACGCGAAAGCGUGGGGAGCAAACAGGAUUAGAAACCCUAGUAGUCC